AAGUGCCCCAGUGCAGGUCUGUUCCAAAGUGGGUUUGGGAUGGAGGGGGAGGGGAAAGUGCUCUAUUGGACAGUCCCCUGGGACAGGAGGCUUCUAGCACAGAGAGGCAAGAGGCCUGCGGGACCCCUGUUCAAAUUCACAUGCCUUAAAGGGUCUAUCUGUCAACUACAACUCCCACACUAGGGUGAAUGUGACUUCCUGUCUGUAGCCCAUGUGAUGGAUAACCGAAAAAACAUGUUCAUAUUAAACAUCAAUGGAUUCUCUGCUUAUGGCAUCGUCAGGGAAGAUGACUCACCCACUGUCCCUAUACGUGCACUUAUCUUGUUAUUCUACAAACUCCCAGUUGUUCCUAAGAAGAGGUCCAUCCUUAAUGUGUUGUUGCUUCCCAGAAAUGUUAUGAUCAGGGAGGUGAAUAGAUUAGAGGUGUCAACCAAUACGUUGGCUGGAAUUUGCAUGUUUUGGUAACAUUAAUACUUGGAUAAUGUGUUAUAGUUUAAACAUUGGAUAACAAAAUGUUAUUUUAUGAAAACAUUCAAAGGUACAGGAGGAGUGGAAGAGAAGGAAUGGAGACCAAGAAACCUGCAUUGAAACUAACGCUCACUGCCAACUAAUCCCAAAGCAACAAUACACCCUCUCCACUGAUCUUACAGAUGAUCAUCAAAUAAGACCAAAGCAUUUGAAAACUACGAAAACUAUGAAAACUACAUCCCAACAUUUCAGUUGUUCUUACAAACUGUUGUUGAACAAGUUGAUCUUCUCCUGAAAGAAAAUGAUGGUGCAGAGUCUGUGUGGGAUAGACUUGUCUGGCUUCCAGUUUCACCAACAGAAAUCAUCUCUACAGCGUCCGGCCCUGCCCUGUAGCCCCUCCUGCCAAUCCUCCUACUCUCUCAGGAGGGGACUUCAUAACAAAACACAGAGUGAAACUGGAGGAACGCAUGGGUGAAUUGCAGCCCACACUCCUCAAGCUUCAGGACUGUAACGUACUGAACGAUGUGGAGCGCUGAGAAGAUUGACAACAUGAGUUCACGGAUCCAGAGGAACAAGGCCCUUCUGGACAUGAUUGUGAGGAAGGGACCUCGUGCACAGGAACAGCUCUACCAGGCCCUAAAUAAAGAGGACCCUUACCUGGUGGAACACCUGGAAGAGGAGACAUCCUGACCAUAGAUUUGUGUGUAAGGUUAUUCAACGGUUGUGCCCAAAAUGACUACAACAUGUAUAUGGACCAGGAGCCAAGAGAUCAGGACAGGCUUGCUACACAGGUUCACUGGCUGCAAACAGCAAGCUUCAGGACUUUGCUAUUUAAUGGCAUUAUAUAUGUUUUAAUCUCUGUAUAAAAUACAUAUGUAGAUAGUAAGUAUAUAUUUACAAGCCUUUUUACAUUUUCAUGUCAGUAUUUUAUACAUACAGAUUUAUGCAUCAGUCAUUUCUAUAGAUGUUCAAUGUCGCUGGAAUUUCUGUCCGGCACACUUGUGUUUUUAUUGGUCUCAUACUGUGAUGGAGAGAUGCUUGUAUAAAAGUUGCGUCAUUCUUGUCCAUAUAGAAUGUACUGUAUGAAAAUGACCAUAUGCCAUUCAACAGACUAGGCCUGGCUAUAUCUGUGGACCAGAGAUCCAUGCUAAGUGGUGACAGGCACCCUGUUCUACAAAAACAAAAAAUACAAUAACAGUGUGAGGUCAAUGUUCCGUGUUCAUAAUGCUCAAUAGUGUAAAGUUAUAUUACAUUUGAUCUGAGCUACUCCACCUGUGUCAAAACAUCCUGGGUGUGUCAUGUUUCCAUUGAAUAGCAGCUCUAUCCUAGCACGUCGUCCCUCGUUCCAAAAAACAGUUCACACAUUGAUGAGCCGCUUCCGGACCACAGAUUAAAAGGGCUCUGUUCAAUUGUCGUCGCAGAAAUGGAUCUUUACAGCGUGAUUGACAUUUUAAGGAAGUGUUCCCGCUUUUGUGGAGGCCGCAUUCACGGUAAACGCUGCAUAUGUUGGCUCAAUCGGAAAUGACCUUUACAUUUCUAUCAAAAUGUUAUUCGUCACAUGCUUCGUAAUGAACAGGUGUAGACUAACAGUGAAAUGCUUCCUUGCAGGCCCUUCCCAACAAUGUAGAGAGAAAGAAAAUAGAAAAGUUAUAACACAUAAUAAUAAAAGUAAAAAUAAAUACACAAUGAGUAACGAUAACUUGCCUAAAUACACAGGCACCAGGGCCGAGCCCAUGUGCAAGGGUACGAGGUAAUUGAGGUAGGUACAGUGCCUUCAGAAAGUAUCACACCCCUUGACUUUUUCCAUCUUUUAUUGUGGUACAGCCUGAAUUUUUUUUUAUGGAUUAAAUGUUAAUUUUCUGGCACUGGCCUACACACAAUACCCCAAUGUCAAAGUGGAAUUUUUAUAAAUGAAUUAAAAAUGAAAAGC